rnacentral:lncRNA from 1 species
CCACAGUCCAUGAGGUCACAAAGAGUCAGACAUGACUGAAGCGACCUAGCAUGCACUCACACCGUAACUAAAGGUAGAAAACCUGGAUGAUGGGCAGACAUAAGUGACCUUUCAUUUUUCUCUUGCAAUGGUCUUCCAUCCCGUACAUGUUCCCGUCCUCCACAUUCAGAAAUGAGAUGUUGGUGGACUCCCAGAGAAAGUUCAGUUUCCCACAGAUGACUCAGAGUUGGGUUUUAUGCAGCAGCAGGUCCCGUAAAGGACCCAUGUGGAUAUUUUGGUGUUCUCGGCUGAAGGAUGCUUUAGAAGCGUAAAGCCACC